UAAAUUAAGCGGGGAACGAACCCGCAACGUCGGAUUUGAAGUGCAGUGCCUUGACAACUGCGCUAUUGAUCC